rnacentral:rRNA from 1 species
UGUUUUCUUGAGUCGCGAACGGGUGAGUAACGCGUAGGUAACCUGCCUAUUAGCGGGGGAUAACUAUUGGAAACGAUAGCUAAUACCGCAUAAUAUUAAUUAUUGCCUGAUAAUUGAUUGAAAGAUGCAAGCGCAUCACUAGUAGAUGGACCUGCGUUGUAUUAGCUAGUUGGUAAGGUAAGAGCUUACCAAGGCGACGAUACAUAGCCGACCUGAGAGGGUGAUCGGCCACACUGGGACUGAGACACGGCCCAGACUCCUACGGGAGGCAGCAGUAGGGAAUCUUCGGCAAUGGACGAAAGUCUGACCGAGCAACGCCGCGUGAGUGAAGAAGGUUUUCGGAUCGUAAAGCUCUGUUGUAAGUCAAGAACGUGUGUGAGAGUGGAAAGUUCACACAGUGACGGUAGCUUACCAGAAAGGGACGGCUAACUACGUGCCAGCAGCCGCGGUAAUACGUAGGUCCCGAGCGUUGUCCGGAUUUAUUGGGCGUAAAGGGAGCGCAGGCGGUCACGAAAGUCUGGAGUAAAAGGCUAUGGCUCAACCAUAGUGUGCUCUGGAAACUGUCUGACUUGAGUGCAGAAUGGGAGAGUGGAAUUCCAU